GNAGGGUGCGAGCGNNAAUCGGAANCACUGGGCGUAAAGGGUGCGCAGGCGGUNGAGNAAGACAGAUGNGAAAUCCCCGAGCNUAACUCGGGAAUGGCAUAUGUGACNGCUCGACUAGAGUGUGUCAGAGGGAGGUGGAAUNCCACGNGUAGCAGUGAAAUGCGUAGAUAUGUGGAAGAACACCGAUGGCGAAGGCAGCCUCCUGGGACAUAACUGACGCUCAGGCACGAAAGCGUGGGGAGCAAACAGGAUUAGAUACCCUGGUAGUCCACGCCCUAAACGAUGUUAACUAGUUGUUGGGAAGUAAUAUUCUCAGUAACGCAGCCAACGCGAGAAGUUAACCGCCUGGGAAGU
rnacentral:rRNA from 1 species